GAUGAACGCUGGCGGCGUGCCUAAUACAUGCAAGUCGAGCGAACGGACGAGAAGCUUGCUUCUCUGGUGUUAGCGGCGGACGGGUGAGUAACACGUGGAUAACCUACCUAUAAGACUGGGAUAACUUCGGGAAACCGGAGCUAAUACCGGAUAAUAUUUUGAACCGCAUGGUUCAAAAGUGAAAGACGGUCUUGCUGUCACUUAUAGAUGGAUCCGCGCUGCAUUAGCUAGUUGGUAAGGUAACGGCUUACCAAGGCAACGAUGCAUAGCCGACCUGAGAGGGUGAUCGGCCACACUGGAACUGAGACACGGUCCAGACUCCUACGGGAGGCAGCAGUAGGGAAUCUUCCGAAAUGGGCGAAAGCCUGACGGAGCAACGCCGCGUGAGUGAUGAAGGUCUUCGGAUCGUAAAACUCUGUUAUUAGGGAAGAACAUAUGUGUAAGUAACUGUGCACAUCUUGACGGUACCUAAUCAGAAAGCCACGGCUAACUACGUGC
rnacentral:rRNA from 1 species